CGAUAGGUCUCGAUUGCUGGAAUGCAUCGAGAUUUAAAGCUCCGGCGCCUAAGGAUGGGUCUGCGGCCUAUCAGGUAGUAGUGGGUGUAGCGUACCUACUAGCCUACGACGGGUACGGGUUGUGAGAGCAAGAGCCCGGAGAUGGAUUCUGAGACACGAAUCCAGGCCCUACGGGGUGCAGCAGGCGCGAAAACUUUACAAUGCCGGCAACGGCGAUAAGGGGACCUCGAGUGCCAGGUUACAAAUCUGGCUGUCGUGAUGCCUAAAAAGCAUUGCAUAGCAAGGGCCGGGCAAGACCGGUGCCAGCCGCCGCGGUAACACCGGCGGCUCGAGUGGUAACCGUUAUUAUUGGGUCUAAAGGGUCUGUAGCCGGCCGGAUAAGUCUCUUGAGAAAUCCAGCAGCUCAACUGUUGGGCUUUCAGGAGAUACUGUUCGGCUCGAGGCCGGGAGAGGUGAGAGGUACUUCAGGGGUAGGGGUGAAAUCUUGUAAUCCUUGAAGGACCACCAGUGGCGAAGGCGUCUCACCAGAACGGACCUGACGGCAAGGGACGAAAGCUAGGGGCACGAACCGGAUUAGAUACCCGGGUAGUCCUAGCCGUAAACGAUACUCGCUAGGUGUCGGCCACGGUGCGACCGUUGUCGGUGCCGUAGGGAAGCCGUGAAGCGAGC
rnacentral:rRNA from 1 species